GCAUUAUAUUACACUGGAUAUCUCGAGGACAUAAUAGUAAAUAUUUGGUAAAUUAUCAGCCUCAUUUUCACUUUUAUAACCAGCACCUUAACUAAAUCUAAUUUACCUAUGGCAUCUUCAUGUCUUGUCCAUCACACAUUUUUUUUUAGUGAAGUCAUGUAUUAAAAUAAAUAAAGAACAGUUAUUCCGUUUUCCUUGAAGUAAUGAGAGAUAUGGCAGCGUCACACGGAUUAUAGGACUAGCCCUACAGGUCAGUACAAUUUAAUUUUACUACAGUAGCAAUAUUGGAGAUGUCUGCUAUCACAAGAACAGCACAGUGGAAUACUUCACUUUAUUGUGAUUUGCUUGUUAUUCUGCAACUUAAAAUUUCAUCUGAGGGAAAUAGCUAGAACAAGUUCUUCCUUUCUACUUAUCAACACCGUUCCCCUCCUCAUGAACAGUAAGCUUGGGGAUCUUGAAGCAAAAUGGAAUUUUUCUUAGAGAGAGAGAGAGAGAGAGAGAGAGAGAGAGAGAGAGAUAGAGAGAGAGAGAGAGAGAGAGAGAGAGAGAGAGAGAGAGAGAGAGAGAGAGAACACUGAAGAUUAUAUUUAUAGGCCAUGAAAUACAAACAAAGGAGCAGGUAUCAGAGUUUAGGAGUGUAGGUAAGCAGAUAGUAAAUAAAUGGAAAUUAUGUGAAAGCUGUUAAGUGGGUUAGGAAUAUUUGGAUAUAUGGUAAAAAAUAUACUUUACACAUUGAAGUAUAAUUUUAUUGUUAAAAGUGUUUGUAACUUCAUAAGAAAAAUAUAAAAUGACAAUUUUCUUACAAAGGUUCUAUGUAACAGUUCUCAAUUUUCUGUUAACAAGUCAGCAUCAGACAGCCAUAGGUUUGCUCAUAUCCAAUAAAAUAUUUAAAUUAAUUUA